rnacentral:lncRNA from 1 species
GGACAUGGAGAACCUUUAUGUCCAGCUCAAGUUGCAGUCCGUAGGCACUUGCUUUAACCGUGAAGAAUUACCUUCAGUACUUCAGUGGCCUCAGGGUGAGGAAUUGGGAGCCACCAGUGUGACAAAUAAACCUGGACUCUCAGCAAUGAGGAAAGAAACAGACCAACAAGUUGGGGAAAGAAAGCUCACAUACUGCGGUGACCAGGUAACUCUGUUCACAGACCAAGGAAAAAUUGCUCAGGUAUCACCCUUUCAACGGAGAACAUCUUGCUACCAUAAUUGCAAUGCCCAAUCCCCACUUCUUUGAGCACUACUGAUCUUCUCAUCCAAUUUUUGUUCUGUUUAAUGGUAUUUAUCAUCUUAUAACUUUCUGUAUAUUUGACUAUUAUACUUACUCUUCAAUGUCUGUCUACCUAAAUCAUAUUGCAAGGUCCUGGAGCACAAGAUUUUUGUUUUCUUUGUUCAGUCAGGCAUUCAAAUUGCCUAGAACUAAAAACAUAAAAAGAACCUGGGGCCGGGCACAGUGGCUCAUGCCUGUAAU